rnacentral:rRNA from 1 species
CAGCAGCCACGGUAAUACGGAGGGUGCAAGCGUUAAUCGGUAUUACUGGGCGUAAAGCGCACGCAGGCGGUUCGUUAAGUCAGAUGUGAAAUCCCCGAGCUUAACUUGGGAACUGCAUUUGAAGCUGGCAAGCUAGAGUCUUGUAGAGGGGGGUAGAAUUCCAGGUGUAGCGGUGAAAUGCGUAGAGGUCUGGAGGAAUACCGGUGGCGAAGGCGGCCCCCUGGACAAAGACUGACGCUCAGGUGCGAAAGCGUGGGGAGCAAACAGGAUUAGAUACCCCAGUAGUCCCUGUCUCUUAUAC